rnacentral:rRNA from 1 species
AGCGAACGCUGGCGGCAGGCCUAACACAUGCAAGUCGAACGGACCCUUCGGGGUUAGUGGCGGACGGGUGAGUAACACGUGGGAACGUGCCUUUAGGUUCGGGAUAGCUCCUGGAAACGGGUGGUAAUGCCGAAUGUGCCCUUCGGGGGAAAGAUUUAUCGCCUUUAGAGCGGCCCGCGUCUGAUUAGCUUGUUGGUGGGGUAAUGGCCCACCAAGGCUACGAUCAGUAGCUGGUCUGAGAGGAUGACCAGCCACAUUGGGACUGAGACACGGCCCAAACUCCUACGGGAGGCAGCAGUGGGGAAUCUUGCGCAAUGGGCGAAAGCCUGACGCAGCCAUGCCGCGUGUAUGAUGAAGGUCUUAGGAUUGUAAAAUACUUUCACCGGUGAAGAUAAUGACUGUAGCCGGAGAAGAAGCCCCGGCUAACUUCGUGCCAGCAGCCGCGGUAAUACGAAGGGGGCUAGCGUUGCUCGGAAUUACUGGGCGUAAAGGGAGCGUAGGCGGACAUUUAAGUCG